UACGAAGGGGGCUAGCGUUGCUCGGAAUCACUGGGCGUAAAGCGCACGUAGGCGGGUCUUUAAGUCAGGGGGGAAAUGCCAAGGCUCAACCUUGGAACUGCCUUUGAUACUGGAGAUCUUGAGUCCGGGAGAGGUGAGUGGAAUUGCGAGUGUAGAGGUGAAAUUCGUAGAUAUUCGCAAGAACACCAGUGGCGAAGGCGGCUCACUGGCCCGGAACUGACGCUGAGACGCGAAAGCGUGGGGAGCAAACAGG
rnacentral:rRNA from 1 species